rnacentral:piRNA from 1 species
UCGAAAAUGAAAAUGAUCUCA